rnacentral:rRNA from 1 species
GACGAACGCUGGCGGCGUGCUUAACACAUGCAAGUCGAACGAUGAUGCCCAGCUUGCUGGGUGGAUUAGUGGCGAACGGGUGAGUAACACGUGAGUAACCUGCCCCUGACUCUGGGAUAAGCGUUGGAAACGACGUCUAAUACUGGAUACGACUGCCGGCCGCAUGGUCUGGUGGUGGAAAGAUUUUUCGGUUGGGGAUGGACUCGCGGCCUAUCAGCUUGUUGGUGAGGUGAUGGCUCACCAAGGCGACGACGGGUAGCCGGCCUGAGAGGGUGACCGGCCACACUGGGACUGAGACACGGCCCAGACUCCCACGGGAGGCAGCAGUGGGGAAUAUUGCACAAUGGGCGAAAGCCUGAUGCAGCAACACCGCGUGAGGGAUGACGGCCUUCGGGUUGUAAACCUCUUUUAGUAGGGAAGAAGCGAAAGUGACGGUACCUGCAGAAAAAGCACCGGCUAACUACGUGCCAGCCGCCGCCGUAA